ACGGGCGUGGUAUAAUGGUAUUACUACAGUCACUAACUGCUGAUGCGGGUUCAAGUCCUGCCGCCCGUUCCA
rnacentral:tRNA from 3 species